rnacentral:tRNA from 1 species
AAGGAUUUAAGUUAAAAAAAACUACUAACCUUCAAAGUUGAUAAUAGAAAAAAUUCUAAGCCUUA